GAUAAUUUUGGUUUUAAAAGCUGGACUGACACUGCUGGGAUGUUCUCUCUAAUAGAUCAUUGCAUGAUAAACGAAUAUGGUGUGCAGCAGAAGAGCCUUAGGUCAGGUUAGAGCAUUGAAUAGGAUGUGGGGAGCCACUCUGCCAUGGAAGCUCGCUGGGUGGACCCUGGGCCAGCCACACACUCUCAGCCUAACCUACCUUGAAGGGUUGUUGGGAAGAUAAAAUGGAAGAGAACAGAAUAAGAAACUCCUCCAUCUUUUGGAACUCAGUCUUUGUCUUUCCCAGCAUCAGUGUUGCUCGCCUCUGAAACAUGAAAAGGAAAGAAA